rnacentral:rRNA from 1 species
UACGUAGGGUGCAAGCGUUGUCCGGAAUUAUUGGGCGUAAAGAGCUCGUAGGCGGUCUGUCGCGUCGGCUGUGAAAACCUGGGGCUUAACUCCGGGCCUGCAGCCGAUCCGGGCAGACUAGAGUUCGGCAGGGGAGACUGGAAUUCCUGGUGUAGCGGUGAAAUGCGCAGAUAUCAGGAGGAACACCGGUGGCGAAGGCGGGUCUCUGGGCCGAUACUGACGCUGAGGAGCGAAAGCGUGGGGAGCAAACAGG